rnacentral:lncRNA from 1 species
UGAACACACACACACACACACACCUACUGAGUUAACAUGUUCAUGUUGUUGAACUGCAGGAGCUCUUGUGGCCGGCAUAAUAUUCUCCGUGAUUCUCCUCGCUGGCAUAGUUUUCCUGGCAAGACCAGUGAUGGCAAACUAUCAAGCACGUCAGGUUCAAAUGAAGAAGCAAAGGAACUCCAAUGGGGAAAAUGGCCACACUGAUCCAGAUUGCUCUCCCUAUGCUGUGGGCUACAGGCAGCCGGAACCUUACUCUGUAGUACCCAUCAGGACACAGAUGGACAGUGCUGUGGGCUUCAGGCCAGCCGGAACCUUACUCUGUAGUACCCAUCAGGCACCACAGAUGGACAGUGCUGUGGGCUUCAGGCAGCCGGACCGUACCCAUCAGGACACAGAUGGACAGUGCUGUGUCCUCACCAGCAGGACCCAGUGGACAGACCUCAGAUAUGCCUGAACCUUACUCUGUCAUUGCACUCAACAAUAUAGCGUAAAACAACAGGUACCUCGGUCUAGAACCUCAAAG